rnacentral:lncRNA from 1 species
AUUAAGAAAAUUCAAUUUAAUUCUUAAAUUUGUGAAAAAUCCAAAUUUUAUCAAUAUUUUGUAUUAGAUUUUCAAUGUUUAUGUUUAUCUUUUUGGUUAUUUUUGGUACAUUUUAGUGAUUUUGGUGCAGGGUUUCAUUAUGGUGGCCAUUAUUUGGCCAAAUCUCAGUACGCCGAUGUCCGUCUCCUUCACCGGCCUUAGACCCGUGGAUUUCCGUCAACAAAUGGUAGUCGGAGAGGGAGGGGAAUAGUUGUUGGCUUUGGUGGAAGAGACAUAAUAAUUCUAUGCUUGAACUCAGAUCUUCUAUUUUUGCUCAUCUGUACCAACAUUAAUGAAAAGCUUGAAGGUCGCAGGGCCAUGGAUAGAUGGUGAUAGUCUGUUUUAUCAUGCCUUAAGCUUUUGUUUCUUGAGCUUUAUUGUGAAAAACUUUGUAAAUUUAAGAAUUUGGCUUUUGAUCUGACAGUCUAGAUGUGUCAUUUUGCUUAUAAUGGGUUUGGUUAAAGUGUGUGCUCCAUCUUGUUGGAUGGUGCUAAUGGGGAAGAAGAAGGAUCUUUUUGGUAGGGAGAAGUAUCUGAUUUAUAAAUAUUGUAAGCUUAUAAGCCGAGUUUCACUUGGGCUUUAAGUCUAAUUGCUUGGGUUUAAUGAUUAUGCACUCUUUUGGUUAAACUCUUUAAUUCUAUUAUAAGUGGGC